rnacentral:rRNA from 1 species
CCUACGGGAGGCAGCAGUGAGGAAUAUUGGUCAAUGGACGAGAGUCUGAACCAGCCAAGUAGCGUGAAGGAUGACUGCCCUAUGGGUUGUAAACUUCUUUUAUAUGGGAAUAAAACGUUCCACGUGUGGGAUUUUGUAUGUACCAUAUGAAUAAGGAUCGGCUAACUCCGUGCCAGCAGCCGCGGUAAUACGGAGGAUCCGAGCGUUAUCCGGAUUUAUUGGGUUUAAAGGGAGCGUAGGUGGAUUGUUAAGUCAGUUGUGAAAGUUUGCGGCUCAACCGUAAAAUUGCAGUUGAAACUGGCAGUCUUGAGUACAGUAGAGGUGGGCGGAAGUCGUGGUGUAGCGGUGAAAUGCUUAGAUAUCACGAAGAACUCCGAUUGCGAAGGCAGUUCACUGGACUGCAACUGACACUGAGGCUCGAAAGUGUGGGUAUCAAACAGGAUUAGAUAACCCAGUAGUC